CCCAGAGGACUAUUGUGUACUCCAAAAGUUAUUUUGUGAUAGACAGUAGAUAUUUCUCUCUUGAACUACGUUAUAACAAGGAUGCUGUAGAGCCAACAUCAUAUAAUGAAUCAAACCUGCAAAACCAGAUGGCAACAGGCUGCCAGAACAUCCUAAGUAUUUUCUUCUUCUGCAAGACAGAAAUAUAACUGAAAGUCAACUCUGAAGAAGAGAACAGUAAAAGCUGGAAGUACUGACCUGUAGCAUCACUGUAUCCCCCCUAACAACUGCAACUGUCUUAAGGAGAAGUGGAGAUGAAUGUUACACUGCUGAAGUACUAGCUUCUACAAUUAGGUUUUCUGAAACCUCAGUGCUCCAAUCCAAUGCCAAACAGAAAUCCCCAUAUUCUACAUGACUACAUAGAUAAACGGUUGCAAUGAGGCAGAGCUGGAUUUUGAUACGGAAACCUAAUUCUUAUUGUAACAGCAGUUCUGCAAGCUGGAGGAAUUCAAAAGGGUGAGGCCACGAAGCAUGGCAAAGAAAAAACUUACAAGGAGGAGGCAGACAACAAAGAAUAUCUCAAGUUUCCUACCGGGUCCCAGUGGCAAGUGACCACCCUCACUUCCAGAGGGAGUGCCUGAAUCAAAAUGGGAUUUUAUCAUGGGCAGAGUUUUGCUCGCGUGAGCAGUCCAAACAGAGGUCUUCUGAAGCACCUGCCAGCAAAGCUAAACACGUGCAGAGAAACACGUUUUCACAAUCACUUACACAUAAUGCUAAGGGAUGGAUUGACGGUUCCUAGUAGGGAAAGUGAGUUGUUCUUGGGAUUUCACAAGCAAUACAUUCAUCCAAGAAAAAUAACCAAAAAUAACUUUUUAGGGAAGAGAGGAAUUUUAACCAAAGGCAAACCCAUUUAUUUCAAGACGUAAUAAAAGAUGAGUAAGUCCGGCUAGCGAACACAACAGCAAUGACCUUCAGACAAAAAAAUAUGUAUUGUACAAGAUUUUAAAUCUUAAAAAGUACAACCGAAGGGUACAGCACAGCUAUGUGAACAUAAACGGCUUUCUUUACAUUUUAAAUGAUUAAUGUUCAUAUAGCUUAGGAUAUACACACCUAUAAACACGUUCUAAUUUUCAGACAAUGGACACACAUUUUCCUACUUCAGAGUAAAGGAAUUAAAGAAAAACAACUGAAAGCCAUUCAUGUUAAUAGUACUACACGAGACAGCAAGUGAUGCUGGGCUGGACAUUUUCAUAUUCAUUUGACUCCAUUGCGUCACACACAUCUGGUGCAGAAGAAAAAAGUUGUAUCUGAAAGAGGUAUUCUCCCUCUCAGUUUUACUUACCAUUUACAGCAGAGUAAUUUGAAAUGUAGGAAGAAUAUGAUACAAAGAGAGAAUAGGUUGACUAGCUUAUCAAACGUAAUGCUGUUCUAAAUCACAAAAAAAAUAUUUAAAGCAUUAAUUCUAUUUUGCAUUUUUACUUUUAAUUUCUUCUCUAAAGGAAGGAUGGUUUUCAUUAGUUGGUAACAAUUAAAACAUGCUGCUCUGUAAUUAAAUGGAGCUUUUACACCAAACUUCGUAGUCCUUUACACUGAAAUCUCUGUCUCUACUCAUAUAUCUAAGUAAUUAAACAACUUAGGACACAGAGUUCUUUGUUCUUCAAUUACAGUAAUGCAUGGAGAUAUAUGCUCUACACUUACAGACUGUUCACGGUUUAUCAAUUUCUGGAGUUUUAUUUAGAUGGGAGUGAAAUGAUUAAAAUAUACAAAAACUGAAUUAAAAAUAAAGAAGCGAUCUUUAGUGUGCUGUCUAGCUAAGAAAAAGCAUAGAG